CCUUGAGAUAAUUGCCCACAUCUCCACUUUGAGCAAAUAGUAUUAGUAUUUGGGGUUCCUUGGAAAGGCUUUAAGGAGGAAAUAUCCAGGGUACUAGGCAGGAAAUAGGAGUGAGGACCAAGGACGAUGCAGAGCUAUCAUGGCCCAGGGGUUGGCUCCCCAGCCUCAGUGGGAGACGAUGGAGGGCCUUGGCCCACUUCUGGUUGGUUGGAUCCCAAGCCCAGCCCAGGAAGGUCAGCCAGUUCCUCUUGCAGUAAGGAGGAGACUCCCUUCCCAGCAAAGUCUUCCUGCUGAAGAAAUGCAGCCCGGGCCCAGGGCGCAGGUACAAGCAUGGCCUCCUCCCCAGGGACACUCAGCACCCAGAGCAGGCAGCACCUGAGAGCAAGACUGGCGUCAUCCGUCAGCCUGGCAGGAUUUAGAGCCGGUUCAUGAAUCCUGCAGCUUCCUGCUUAUUGGUGAAAAUCUCCUGUUUGGGAAGUGGGUGACCAAAGAGCACUGAACACUGGCAGCUGAGGAGGCCCCAGCUUCCUCUUCCUGCCUUCUAAAGGUCAGAGCCAGAGGGCCAGCUCCCAGGCAGGGUCUGGCCUUGGUUCUCCCCUAUGAUAGGCCAGGUAAAGUAUGGGUGGAGCGGCCUUGCCCCAUCAGGAUCUUCUAUUCAUCCUUGGGUACCACCUGGUAUCUCCCACCCCUGAAAUCCCCUGGGCAAGUGCAGUCUCAUUAGCACUGGGAGACAACUCAGUAGAACCUCUACUGGAUACUCAGGGGAAUGGUGAGCCAAGGAAAAAUCAUGACCAUUUCCAGGCUCCUUGGCAGCCCUGGGUGGUGAAUGGUUGGUCUGUUUCCAGUUC
rnacentral:lncRNA from 1 species